UACGGAGGGUGCAAGCGUUAUCCGGAUUCACUGGGUUUAAAGGGUGCGUAGGCGGAUUGGUAAGUCCGUGGUGAAAUCUCUAAGCUUAACUUGGAAACUGCCAUGGAUAAUAUUAGUCUUGAAUAUUGUGGAGGUUAGCGGAAUAUGUCAUGUAGCGGUGAAAUGCAUAGAUAUGACAUAGAACACCAAUUGCGAAGGCAGCUGGCUACACAAAUAUUGACGCUGAUGCACGAAAGCGUGGGGAUCAAACAGG
rnacentral:rRNA from 1 species